rnacentral:rRNA from 1 species
UUAGCCGUUGCUUCCUUUGGAGGUACCGUCAUUAUCUUCCCUCCUGACAGUGCUUUACGACCCGAGGGCCUUCUUCACACACGCGGCAUGGCUGCAUCAGGCUUUCGCCCAUUGUGCAAGAUUCUGA